GAAUAUUGGACAAUGGGGGAAACCCUGAUCCAGCCAUGCCGCGUGUGUGAAGAAGGUCUUCGGAUUGUAAAGCACUUUAAGUUGGGAGGAAGGGCGUCAAGCUAACACCUUGCUGUUUUGACGUUACCGACAGCAUAAGCACCGGCUAACUCUGUGCCAGCAGCCUCGGUAAUACAGAGGGUGCAAGCGUUAAGCGGAAUUACUGGGCGUAAAGCGGGCGUAGUUGGGUCGUUAAGUUGGAUGUGAAAUCCCCGGGCUCAACCUGGGAACUGCAUCCAAAACUGGCGAGCUAGAGUAGGGCGGAGGGUGGUGGAAUUUCCUGUGUAGCGGUGAAAUGCGUAGAUAUAGGAAGGAACACCAGUGGCGAAGGCGACCACCUGGGCUCAUACUGACACUGAGGUGCGAAAGCGUGGGGAGCAAACAG
rnacentral:rRNA from 1 species